GAUGAACGCUAGCGGCAGGCCUAAUACAUGCAAGCCGAACGGCAAGACUUUCAGCAAUGGAAGUCCUAGAGUGGCGUAAGGGUGCGUAACACGUAUGCAAUCUGCCCUCAACAGGAGGAUAGCUCCCCGAAAGGGGAAUUAAUACUUCAUAGGAUUUAGUGGUGGCAUCACUAUUAAAUUAAACUACGGGGUUGAGGAUGAGCAUGCGCAUGAUUAGUUAGUUGGCGGGGUAACGGCCCACCAAGACGAUGAUCAUUAGGGGAACUGAGAGGUUGAUCCCCCACACUGGCACUGAGAUACGGGCCAGACUCCUACGGGAGGCAGCAGUAGGGAAUAUUGGACAAUGGGUGAGAGCCUGAUCCAGCCAUGCCGCGUGCAGGAAGAAAGCCUUCUGGGUUGUAAACUGCUUUUCUCUGGGGAUAAAAUGGUGGUGCGCCACAAAUUGAAGGUACCAAGGAAUAAGCCACGGCUAACUACGUGCCAGCAGCCGCGGUAAUACG
rnacentral:rRNA from 1 species